CUUUACUCGGGGAUAGCCUUUCGAAAGAAAGAUUAAUACCCGAUGGCAUAAUGAUUCCGCAUGGUUUCAUUAUUAAAGGAUUCCGGUAAAGGAUGGGGAUGCGUUCCAUUAGGUUGUUGGUGAGGUAACGGCUCACCAAGCCUUCGAUGGAUAGGGGUUCUGAGAGGAAGGUCCCCCACAUUGGAACUGAGACACGGUCCAAACUCCUACGGGAGGCAGCAGUGAGGAAUAUUGGUCAAUGGGCGCUAGCCUGAACCAGCCAAGUAGCGUGAAGGAUGAAGGCUCUAUGGGUCGUAAACUUCUUUUAUAUAAGAAUAAAGUGCAGUAUGUAUACUGUUUUGUAUGUAUUAUAUGAAUAAGGAUCGGCUAACUCCGUGCCAGCAGCCGCGGUAAUACGGAGGAUCCGAGCGUUAUCCGGAUUUAUUGGGUUU
rnacentral:rRNA from 1 species